rnacentral:rRNA from 1 species
UACGUAGGGUGCAAGCGUUGUCCGGAAUUAUUGGGCGUAAAGAGCUCGUAGGCGGUCUGUCGCGUCUGCUGUGAAAACCCGGGGCUUAACCCCUGGCUUGCAGUGGAUACGGACAGACUAGAGGUAGGUAGGGGAGAAUGGAAUUCCCGGUGUAGCGGUGAAAUGCGCAGAUAUCGGGAGGAACACCGGUGGCGAAGGCGGUUCUCUGGGCCUUACCUGACGCUGAGGAGCGAAAGCGUGGGGAGCGAACAGG